rnacentral:rRNA from 1 species
ACUCAAAUGAAUUGACGGGGACCCGCACAAGCAGCGGAGCAUGUGGUUUAAUUCGAAGCAACGCGAAGAACCUUACCAAGACUUGACAUCGAGUGCAAGCUAUGGAAACAUAGUCCUCCUUCGGGACACGAAGACAGGUGGUGCAUGGUUGUCGUCAGCUCGUGUCGUGAGAUGUUCGGUUAAGUCCGGCAACGAGCGCAACCCUUAUAAUCAGUUGCCAAUAUUCAGUUAGGGACUCUGGUUAGACUGCCGCGGAUAACGCGGAGGAAGGCGGGGAUGAUGUCAAAUCAUCAUGCCCCUUACGUCUUGGGCUACACACGUGCUACAAUGGGCGCUACAAAGAGCAGCGAAACCGUAAGGUCAAGCGAAUCUCAAAAAAGCGUUCUCAGUUCGGAUUGAGGGCUGCAACCCGCCCUCAUGAAGCAGGAGUUGCUAGUAAUCCCGAAUCAGCACGUCGGGGUGAAUGCGUUCCCGGGUCUUGUACACACCGCCCGU